GAACGCUGGCGGUGUGCUUAACACAUGCAAGUCGAACGGGCAAGAGCUGUAGCAAUACAGAAUUCUGCUAGUGGCAAACGGGUGAGUAAUACAUGGGAAUCUACCUUGCAGUGCGAAAUAACAGUUGGAAGCAAUUGCUAAUGUCGCAUAUAGCCGAGAGGUGAAAGAUUUAUCGCUGCAAGACGAGCCCAUGCAGGAUUAGCUAGUUGGGGGGGUAACGGCCCACCAAGGCGAUGAUCAGUAGGGGUUCUGAGAGGAUUGGCCCCCACAUGGGUACUGAGAUACGGAC
rnacentral:rRNA from 1 species